rnacentral:misc_RNA from 2 species
AACGCACAUUGCGCCCUUUGGUAUUCCACUGGGCAUGCCUGUUCGAGCGUCAUCUACACCUUCGAGCCCUGCUCGGUGUUGGGUGUCUGUCUGUCCUGCAGACUCACCUCAAAUCCAUUGGCGGUGGCCCGCCUAGCUUCCUGUGCAGCGCAUGCAACUUGCGAGCUGUCGCGGGCCCACAUCCACCAAGACCAUCGCGAUUUGACCUCGAAUCAGGUAGGGAUACCCGCUGAACUUAA